UUCACUGUUGUUCAGUUUUACAAAUGCUUCAUCUGUUCAAACAACCUUCGGGUACAUUUUUAUGUCAUCGCUAGUGCUUUCCAAACCUCCUCUUAUAAUAGCGUUCACUGAGAAUCAAAUUAUUGUUGAUUCGUCACACAUAUGUGUUCCCUAGGUUUGGCGUGAUGGAACGCUGUGCUGUUGGUGGUCUGAUUUGGUUUCGUGUUCCUUCUGAGAAACAUGUUGCAUAAACAGUGGGCACUGUGUAGGUGGGCACACACACGGACACACACACGAGGACACACGCUGCGGACGCUGUGUUCCAGGACGACAUGUUGGGCUGUAUGUUUUAAUAGUUGAUCCAUAAUACGGCACCCAGAACCCGGCGUAUAGAGGCUGAGUGAACGUGGUGUGGACUCUGUGGAGGAGAUUCAUCGUGUCAGAGACGCUGUAGAAGGACAGAGUUCCUGCACUGUGAUCCACAUACACUCCUAUUCUGAAGGAUGGUGGACCUGUGAGACGAGUCUUAAUGUUGUUGUGACAGAAAAAGAGAGAAGAAGUAGAACAACCCAGACUCCAGGACUGAUUGUUGCGUCCAAACCAACGCUCAUUACCCCGUCCUUUCCUGCUGAUGUCUUUAUACGAGACUGAUAUGUACACCCACACAUCACCGUUCCACUCCGCCUCCCAGUAACAGCGUCCACACACACUCUCCUUACUCAACACCUGCUUGUAGGUGUCAAAUCUCUCUGGAUGAUCAGCGUACUGCUGCUUUCUCUCAAUGUACGUCACCGCUCUGUUCCUCUCAGACAGAAUGAGGUUAUAAUUUACUGUGUUGGGAUCCAGAGUCAGAUCACAGAAAUCUAAACACAUGACAAAUGUGAACAUGUUAGAUAUUAAUCACAGGAUGUGUGAGUGUGUGUGUGUGUUUGUUUUUGAGUGUGCUUGUGUUCAUGUGUGUGUUUCUUUAUGUAUUUGUGUGUCUGUCUGUUUCAGUGUGUCUAUGCUUGUAUGUGUUUUGUGUGAGUGUGUGUGUAUGUGAGUGUGUGUGUGAGUGUGUCUAUGUGUGUGUGGCCCUCUGUGUGAGUAGUUUGCAUGUUCUCCCCGUGCUGUGGGGGUCUCCUCCGGGUACUCUGAUUUCCUCCCCCAGUCCAAACACAUGCAUGGAUUGGCCUUUCCAAAGUGUCUGUAGUGUAUGAAUGGGUGUGUGAACGGGUGUAUGAAUGGGUGUAUGAAUGGGUGUAUGAAUUGUUGUGUGAAUUGGUGUAGGAAUGGGUGUGUGAAUGGGUGUGUGAAUGGGUGAGUGAAUGUGUGUGUGAAUGGGUGUAUGGAUCGGUGUGUGAAUGGGUAUAUGAUGAGUGAGUGAAUGGGUGUAUAAAUGGGUGUAUGAUGGGUGUGUGAAUGGGUAUGUGAAUGGGUGUGAAGGGUGUAUGAUGGGUGUGUGAGUGGGUGUGUGUGUGUGUGUUUUACACGUACACUGCAGAAAAUCUUGUCUGCUCUUUGGUUCUGAGGGUAAAAUGAUCUGAACUGCUGCAGCUGUGGAGACACAGAAACAAAAUGGAGAAGGAAAAAUCAGGUGGUGUAAAAGACGGAAACAGUUUAAAGUGAUCAGAUUUGUGUCUGAUGUUUAAUCAGCGUUUUAUUUUAGAAAACACAUUCUCUAGCUGUGGGAUUUAAAUGAGAUUUUUUCCUUCUGAAUGACGGAGAAAUAAACUUUAUUAAUAACAUGAGCACGAGCAGAGAGCUGCUUUGGUGACUAAUGACUACAGAAGAAAUGUUCUGACUGAAUAAAUGUUAUUCAUAUGACUUAUAAA